CCGUUUCAAGCCUCCCACCCAAUUGAGACUCCUGAGGAUGGAAAAACCUGAGGAAAACGCUUAUGAAAGCUCCCUCGCAAUGCUCGCGGAAGCUUCCGGAACCUCACCUCGUGGAAGCUCACGGAAGUACCACGUCGAAGCUCGCAGACGGAGGGGCGGCAGCGUCAAGCCGGUGACCGAGUGGUGGAGGGAGAAGGAGGGGGAAGGGAAGUGUAAGGUCUGAGAGGGCUGCCGCGGAUGGAAAGCCCCAUCGCCAUGGCCCCUGCGACUACCCAGCUUUCCACCGCCGAGGCCGGCCGCAAGAAUCUAUCUUGGAGGAGGAAGGGAGGAAGCAACGGCCCAGCGAGAAUGGCUCCUUGAGAAGGCUCCCGUCUCGAGGUCCAAGCUCGAAGCGCUCUCCCCGUCACUCUCACCAUCGUCCACCUCUAAAACGCUCAAGAAGAGGAGAGAGAAAGGGGCAAAGGGUUUUAGGAAAUGUAGGGAGGGGAAGGAGAAGGAGAGGAGGUCUUUGAGGGCGCGGAAGGGCUGGAGAUGCUUCUCCUUCUCGAUGCCAUGGUCGAGGCCACGGUCGCGGACCCACUUCACUUGGGCGUCCAUCAAGGUGCGACUCAGGGUCAUGUUCUGUGUUCUUAGAUAGAGGCCUAUGACGGUUUUACAAGGGUUUUAUUCUUGCUAUCUGGUUAGAGACAAAUUGAAAAAUUAAAUUUCAAAUUGGUUAAAUUCAGAUUCUGUUUUGGUUGGCUUUAGUAAGAGUUUUUUAUCAAAUCUUGAAUUGGGUUUGGUUCAAGCUUUAAUCAAGACACUACAAGAAAAAGCUAUAUUUGCAACAAACAUUUCCAACAGAUAACAAAUCAUGCAUAGAAAAAAAUAAUUUUUUCCAAUGAAUAUUUAUUUCCAUUGCAAAUAUAUUACUAUAUGUAAUAUUUCCCAACAGAGUAGCGAUAGUUGUUGGGAAAACAUUUUUGCCCGAUGAACCGUUGGCAAAGAUUGAGGGAAUUGGGCCUUAAUUCAUUGGUUCCAAGGUGACACGUGAGGAGAAAAAUUUUAUACCGCAAUGAAGUGUCUUCCCCCGUAUCCAUGAAGCCCAAAUCCUUCAUAAUUUUUGAUGAGCCAAGCCAGAAUCAUAAUCGAUGCCCAAACCCAAUCAGAAAUUUUCUCCAAGCUCUUUCUAUCUUCAGUCUUGUUCCUUUACUUUCCCUUCUCUUUUCUUUGUUUUUUCUGCUUCUUCUUUCUUUCUUCUCCCUUCUCUCCAUUUCUCUCCCCUUUUCAGAUCAACGGCCAGAGCAAUCGAACUUUGUCGAGCAAGGUAUGUUCUUUUCUCGACCCUGAUUUGGUUUGGUUAUCUUCUUUUCUUAUUUUUAGGUAUAUUCUUUUCUCAACUCUGAGUUGGAUUAGGUUUUCUUCUUUUUUUAUUUUGUUUGCUUCCUAGAAUUACAAUGGUUAUCCUAAUCGUUCUGUAGUUUUAUCAUAAAUCUGUAGACUGACUAGAUUUAAUUUUUUAGUAAAAUAUCUGGAACUUUUUGAUUUAAUUUUGGUCUUUGGAGGGGAUAUGGAGGAAUAAUAACCCAAUGUUUGGUGAGUUUUUAUAGAUUCAGGACGCUUUCAAAUCGGACUUUUUGACUCUCUUGUGUGGAGUUUCAUUGAUAAUGAUGGAAUCUUUUUGUUUUUCUCUUCCCUUAAAAGAAUUAUAUUCUACUGGAUAGAUGGGUUUUAGUUGAUGAAAUAAUCUAUUUAAUGGGGCAUAUCCUAUGACUCUUGAUAUACCUUUAAAUCCAAAUCAUUAUUUUUUGCUUUAGUUGCUAGUUUUUUAUAAAAGGAAGGAAAAUCUGCUGGUAUAUUGUUCGAUUUUUCUUUAAAUCAAUGGCGAAAUCUUUUGGUGCAUAAGCUCCUCUUUGCUCAAUGAAUCUCAAAUGGUGAUAAAUUUAUCUUGCAUUGUGAGGAAUUGUUUUUCUCUUUAGUUACUGUUUAUAUUUGUUUCUAUCUUCUUCUUCUUUUAAUGUUAUCUUUCACAGAUAAUUCUUUCAUUUUUCUUUCAUCAGUGAAGGUCCCUUGGGGUAUUUGUGAAAUGUUGCAUACGCAAUUACAGAGGUGAUAUAUGAGCCCAAAUCCGAUCAACUCCUUAAUCUUUGAAUCAAUGUAGAUCUCAAUACACUCCUUUUUAGCUAACAGAGAGGCUUCCACCGCCAUUUGGCUCAUGUGGCCUUAUUUAAUCAAAAAAAAAAAACUCAUUUAUUAGGGAUAAGACUGUAUUGGCUUUUGUUUGGAUGAGAUGGCAUUUGAAAAAAAUUAUCUUAAUGGAGAUGGGACAUGAAAGCAAUGAGCUAUUUGGACUAUUAAUUUUUUGUUUAGAUAAGGUGGUAUUUGAAAUUAAUAAAAAAAUAUAUGUGUUAAUGGAGAUGGAACAUGUAGAGAUGAGCUCACUUUCAAAUGGCAUUCUUCCCUUUUGUUUGAAUGAGAUGACAUUUAAAAAUAUUAAAAAAAUAUAUACGUUAAUGGGGAUGAGACACAUAGGAAUGAAGUCUCUUUCAAAUGGCAUUCUUCCCUCUCUCACCUCUCUCUCCUUUUGUCUCUCGCCGGCAAAAUACAAGAUAUUAUCUCCCUCUCUUUGUCUCUCAUUGAUAAAAACUCCUCUCUCUUUCUCUCAUCGAUGCAAACACCUUUUAUUCUCUCUCUUAUUGGCACAAACUCCUCUCAUUCUCUCUCAUUCUUUCUCUCCCUCUUUCUCACUGAUGCAAACACAUCUCAUUCUUCCUUUCUCUCACCGACAUAAACUCCUCUCAUUCUCUCUCCCUAGCACAAACUACCCAAGCUCUCUCUCCCUAUCUCUUGUGGAAUCGUGGCUCAUCCUUUCAUUCUCUCUUCCUUUCUUCUGCUUAUGUCUCUCACUCAUCGAAAUCAUCCAUCUGAGAUACCUCCUUUCUCUCUGUCUUGCCAAUCGUUGGAAUCCAGCAACCUUUUUUAAUCAAUUAGUUUGUGUUAUGUUUUGACAAAAUCUUUUUCUUGUGGCUUACUGAGUGGUUAUACUUUAUACAGAAAAAUAAUUUCGAAGCCUACAUCAACGAUAAUUUAUCUAAGGAAGAGCAAUUCGAUGACCGUGUAGGCUCACCGAUAUUUUAGAUCAUAUGCUUAUAAUUCUAUUAUGAUGAGCACUAUUUUGACUUGGAUAGAUGUUGUAUGUAAAUGAUAUAUAUUAUUCGCUUAAUCAUUAAGAUAUAAAGAUACAGGGUUAUACAUAAUUACAAAUGAAUGUAUUACUCCUAUAAAACGAUAUGAUUUAUUCUAUUUAGUUUGUAUAUUUAAUGUUACGUUGACGAUUAUGAACUUUAGACAUCUACUCUUAGUAAUAGAUGAUGCAAAGUUAUUCAGCAUAAACUAACCCACGUAAAACUCUAUUUUUCAGAAUAAAUAGAAACUCCCCAAGGGCCUCCCUAUGAUAAACAACAAUAUAGUAGAAUAAAUACUAACUUCUGAUGGAAUAAAGAUAAAGUAUGUAGAAAUAAACACAAAUUCUUUAGAAUAAACAUAAACAGCCAAGAAUAAAUACAAACCUAAGGAGUUGCUCUAUGUUUUGUAGAGAAUCAUGUUAAAAUAAAUACAAACUAUCCCAAAAUAAAUACAAACUCUAUAUAAUAAACAGAAAUACUAUAUAAUAAAUACAAACUCUAUAGCAAUAAAUAUAAACCAUCCAGAAUAAACACAAACUUGGUCUUCAAAACUUGAGUCAUUCAAGAGUCCCGUAUAGUAAACAACAAGAGAAGAGGAUAAAUAUUAACUUUUGAUGGGACAAACACAAAUCCCAUAGAAAUAAACACAAACUCUCCAAAGUAAACAUAAACAGACCCAGGAUAUAUAAAUACAAACAUAGAAAGUUGCUCUCUAUCUUGUAUGAGACCAUGUCAGGAUAAAUACAAAUUACUCCAAAAUAAAUACAAACUCUAUAUAAUAAACAUAAACUACAUAUAAUAAAUACAAACUCUAUGGUAAUAAACAAAAACUAUCCAGAAUAAAUAUAAAUUUGGUGACUUUUGAAGGCCAACUUUAUAUUUCUGGACAGUUUUUAUUUAUCACCAUAGAGUUUGUAUUUAUUUUAAAAAAAUUAUUAUUAUAUAGAGUUUAUAUUUAUUUUAAAAUAGUUUGUGUUUAUUCUAGCAUGGUCCCACAUAAGAUAGAGAGUGACUCCCUAAGUUUGUAUUUAUCCUAUGUCUGUUUUUAUUUACUCUAAACAAGUUAUAUUUAUUCUCACAUACUUUAUAUUUAUUCCAUCAAAAAUUAGUACAUAUCCUCCUCUCUUGUUUAUUAUGAUGGGACCCUUAGAUGAUCCAAGUUUUGAUGGCUAAUUUUAUAUUUAUUCUGGAGGAUUUGUAUUUAUUGUCAUAGAGUUUGUAUUUAUUAUAUAAAGUUCCUGUUUAUUAUAUAGAGUUUGUACUUAUCCUGAAAUAUUUUGUAUUUAUCCUGAAAUGAUCCCAUGCAAGAUAGAGAGCAACUCCGUAGAUUUGCAUUUAUUCUGGACUUGUUUGUAUUUACUUUAAAAAGUUUUUUAUUUCUAUGGGAUUUAUAUUUAUCCCAUUAGAAGUUAAUAUUUAACCUCAUCUCUUACUGUUUACCGUGGAGAAACUUUGAAUGAUCCAAGUUUUGGAGACCAAAUUUAUAUUUAUUCUGGACGACUUAUAUUUAUUAUUAUAGAAUUUAUAUUUAUUAUAUCAAAUUUUUAUUUAUUAUAUAAAAUUUAUAUUUAUUUUGAAAUGAUUUAUAUUUAUCCUGACAUAGUCCCAUGCAAAAUAAAAAGCAACUCUAUAAUUUAUUUAUCCUAGGCUUUUUUGUGUUUACUCUGGAGAGUUUAUGUUUAUUCUUAUAUACUUUAUAUUUAUUCCAUCAAAAGUUAGUAUUUAUCAUUCUUGUUGUAUAUCGUAAUGGAAUCCUUAAAUGACCCAAGUUUUGGAGAUCAAGUUUAUAUUUAUUUAGGAUAGUUUCUGUUUAUUACCACAAAAUUUAUAUUUAUUUUAAAAAAUUUUAUUUAUUACAUGAAGUUUGUAUUUAUUUUUGGAUAAUAUAUUUAUCUUGACAUGAUCCUAUAUAAAAAAGAGAGAAACUUCUUAGGUUUAUGCUUAUCCUUGAACUAUUUGUGUUUACUUUGGAGUGUGUUUAUUCUCACAUACUUUAUAGUUAUUCUAUCAAAAAUUAGUAUUUAUCCUCAUCUUUUGUUGUUUAUCGUACUGAGACUCUUAAAUGAUCCAAAUUUUAAUGAUCAAGUUUAUAUUUAUUUUGGACGAUUUGUGCUUAUCACCACUAAAUUUAUGCUUAUUUUAGAAAGUUUCUAUUUAUUGCAUAAAGCUUGCAUUUAUUCAGAGGUAGUUUGUAUUUAUCUUGAUAUGAACCUAUGCAAGACAACAAUACAAUUCCUUAGAUUUAUGUUUAUCCUUAGGUUAUUUAUAUUUACUCUGAAAAGUUUAUGUUUAUUUCUAUAUACUAUUUUUAUUCCAUCAAAAGUUAGUGUUUAUCCUCUUUCGGACACAAAUUCAUAUGAUAAAGCAAACACAAAUUUAUAAAUAUAUAACAUUAAAAUUUAAAAAGUUAUAAAUAAAGUUAGUAUAACAACUGACAUGCUAUUGGUUUCAAAAUCUUAAAUAUAGAACAAAAAUCACCCUUCAAAAAUAAGCACAAUUAGCCUAUCAUAACCUCAGACACAAAUUCAUCUAGGAAACAAUAACUAAAUUCAAUAAAUAUAUGAUCACACCAACUGUAGAAUAGAAAAAUUAGAUGACCUACCAAUAAACAUGAUCACACUAAUCUACAAUAAGUUUAAAAUACCACAAAAAAUAAACUCAAAUGUCAUCAAAUCUAUUACAACAGCCAGAAGAUAAAAUAAUCAGUUCACCUAUUAUGAAAUAUAUUUAUACAUAAAAAUAAUAGUUCCAUUGCAGUAUAAUAGUUCUAUUGCAACUGACAUAAAAUUUUCAUUAUAGCAAAAAAGAUUAAUACAAAUUUAUUUACAAUACAACUCAAAUAUUUUGACAGAAUAUAAAUAUCUUGCAAAUGUAGAGCCAAUACACAUAUGCUCACAAAGCUGGUAUAAAGCAAACUACAAUGAUGAUGCCACUUCACGACCUUUAAUGAUUACCUAUGCAACAUAUCUGACAUGCAACUCCAGCAUGUGAGUAUCCGUAAUCGUGAUCUGAGCCUCCAUCAUCAUACUCUUCAUAAAAUACAUAACAUAGAUGGCAUAAUCAAAACCUACAAAAUAAAAUAUGCUCGUGGUCGGUAAGAUAAAUAGAUGACAUGAUGCAUUAAUAAGCAUAGAUGUGUAAUUUAGUAUGGACCAUCAUCUAAUACGGUGCAUUAGUUGGCACAAACCAUUAUUUGGCACUUGAUAAAAAAUUGUUGGACAAUAUUAUAAGCAAAGUAGGUAUCAUGCUUAAGGGGUUGAAAAUUGAAACAAUAAUUUUUCUAAUAAUAUAUGAGACAUGAUGCAUUAUUUGGUACAGUGCAUUAAUUCACAUGAACCAUUUUUGGCAUGGACUAUUAGUGGGCAUGUUUGGCAUAGACAUUAUUUGGGAUGGAGUAUAAUUCUGCACUGAUCAUUAUUUGACAUGCAUCAUUAUUUAGCACGGAACAUUACUUGCUACAAAAUAGCUUAGUUAGCACAUACAAUUACAUUAUUUGACACAUUCCGUUAUCUUGAAAACAAACAUGUUAUUUACAUGCAUCAUGUCAUUUAUAUGUAUCGUGCAAAAAUACUAACAAACAUAAUUAGAGUAUUUACCCCACACCCUACUAUAAGCAGCCGAUAUAAUGAAGCAGCCAACUAUUCAUAUCAAUAGAAUAGAUAUCUUAUGCCAUCUCAAUCAAUCAAGUCACCUACAAAUAUAAGAUUGCAAAUCAACCAUAUUGUUAGGAAUGCAUCAAUAUGUACAACAUUCCGUAAACACGGUUCAUUACUCACAAAUCUUCUGACGACCAACGUACUCUAUACUAGUUAUGGAUGUCUAUUGUCUGAAACAUAUGCUCUUUAGAUCCACAAAAAGCAAAUGCCAGUGUAUUGAUAAGCAUAUAGGCAUAAACAUCUACUUGGUUUCAACCAAUGAAUGAGGCAUUCAAAUAUAUGCCCCCUAAAUCCACAAAAAGCAAGUGCCAGUGUAUUUAUGAGCAUAUGGGCAUAAAUAUCUGCUUAACUUUAGUUAAUAAAUGAGUCAUAAAGUCUUGCAUAGGUUUAUCAGAAACAAAUACAAAAUAAGUAUGGUAAAGAAGGAUUGCAAUAUGAAGUAUGACAUACAAUGCAUUGAUAAAUCGAUCAAUACAAACUGCUGUAGAAGGAAUCAAAAAAUAUCUAUGACCUGCAUAGUCUAUUGUAAAAAAUAAGAAUUAACAAGCAUAUAUCUUUGUUUUAUUCAAAUUAGUAUACAAUCUUUAUAUCGACAUGGAUCAAAUUGCUGAAUAGGAUGUCAUGAACCUACGGUCGAUUGAUGACAUUGAUGUCAUCACUCCAAAUAAAUAACCUAUAUGAAAAAAUUAGUGUUAAAACUAGAAAGAAUCCAUUUUGUAGAUAUUAAAACAAAUUUAAAUUUCAUAACCAAGAAUUAAAUACUGAUCAACUUUUUGCCUUAAAAAAUCUAGAACAUACAUAUGUUCCCUAUUAUCCAGAAGCUGUAAGCCAAAAAAAUCAUGAUCGAUCUCAAAAAAUUCCUGCAUAUUGCAUGAGCAUGUCGAAUGUGCAUGAAGUACGAAUGUUCUAAUGAAUUACAAUACUUACCACAAUAUCAUCCCUUUUAUGGACCGACUUCUUUCUAGACUUUCUUAUAGGACCUGAAGUACUUGAAGUAGGGGGAUGAAGGGACUAUAUAAGAGAUAAGAGCCCCUAAAUACGCACUGUAUAAUCCACCUCUUGGUAGACUGUUGAUCCAUAUGCUCCUAGAGUACUAUUGAACUAUAGGCACUCACAAAAUUAAUAGACAACACAUCUGCCUCCAUCUCAUGAGUGCUCCCCUCCAUAUCCUUCCUCUCUUCUUGCUCUUCAAUGCUGCCUGCAGCUCAAUAAUAAACAUCUACUGAUUAGCAACAAUCCUUCAAAGCUUCAUCUUCUCGACAUCCUCUCAAGCCCUCUUCUUGCCGCAAAUAUUUAUGCAUAAGCUAUAAUUGAGGAUAAAUAGACAAUAAAUAGAUGAAUUAGAGAUAAAUUUUAAAAAUUAAAUAAAGUGAAAGAUCAAUAUUGUGAUAGUGCUACGUGCAUUAUUAGAUCUACUCUUUCUUGCCGUACUACUCGUUCCACUUUCAUCUCUCUUCAUCUGCUAGCUAAAAGGUUCCAUCUUAAGGAGCAACACAUCAUCGUAAUGGAUCUCUAAUAUGAAAAUAAAGACAAAACUAUUAAUCCCCAAAUCUUACAAAAAAAUAAAGAAUACCAAAUAUCAAAAAUAAUAAUACAUCUCCCUUUCUCAGGCCCUUCAAAAUCUCUUAACAGUGGGCUUAUUUUCUAAACUAGGAUUUCUUUUAGUUCAAAAUUCGAAGAAGCCAACCAUAAGUACUUGAUUUGACUAUACCUAUUCUCUCAAAAAGUCAAAUCUAAAAAAAAUAAAUAAUUAUUAAACAACAUAAUCAAUAAUUACGUAUACAAAUUUAAAAUAAUAGUUCUUAUGAAAUAAAUAGAUAAAUAAAUAAUUUAAUAUCUUUCUUACCAUCAAAAUUGUAAUGCAAUCGUUAAUGUAACUAGUGCUCUCUUUCACACAUCUCUCCCUUCUUUUUAGCUUUUCAGCAAUCGUACCAACCAAUCUCCUCUAUGGAGUCGAUAGAAGAGAAGAUCCAUGAUGUAAUACUAAGAUUCGAUAAAGAAAAAAAAAUCAUAUUUAGAAAGUACGCAAUAAACAAUUAUACCAUGGAUCAGAUGGCACUGGAAGAUAAAUCAGACAACAAUAUCUUGAUCCUAUUUUCCAAUAUAUCCCUCUCAACUAUCGACUCCAAAAAAUAUAUGAUACUAACCACACUUUGGGAAACCUUCUUUAGAGAAGUUAAUCUACGACUGUCCACUCCUGUAUAAUCAUUGAGAUGUUGAGCAUAUAAUGAAAAAGCAUCCGAUGUAUUAACAUCCUAUAGGCAUCUGUCAACCACUCUUAGAUGCCUCUGAUGAACUCGAUUUAUUUUCUCAGAUAGCAAUGAUAAUUGAUCAAUCGGAGGAGAGCUCUCUUUUGCUUCCUCAAACCUCCAGCUCUUUUUUCAAUUUCUGGAGGCCUUCGCACGAGCCAUCUACAAAAAACAAUGAAAGUCAGUUAUAAAUCACUUGCAUCUUACUAUAAAAAUUAUAAAAAAUAUAUUAAUAAAUUAAACAUCUUAUUACAAGAGAUGAUAAUUCAUUUUACACUUGCUAUGGCUCCUAAUAACAAUAUAUGAUCUUAGCAUAUUUUUAUAUAAGCAUACCGAGUAAAAUUUACAUAUAAUGCAAGAUCUAAAUAUGGCACUAUUGUUACUAGCUACAUGCAUGCAUAUAUUAUGAUCGGAAACAAACAUAUAUAUUAUCAUUGGAUCAACACCUAUAUACAUAUAUAGAUUAAUCAAUGUGAAUAUAUGCAAAUGUCUCUCUCUCUCGCUCUCUCUCUCUCUCUCUCUCUCUCUCUCCACACACACACACACACACUACUACUACUACNNNNNNNNNNNNNNNNNNNNUCUCUCUCUCUCUCUCUCUCUCUCUCUCUCUCUCUCCACACACACACACACACAUACAUCUACAUUAAUGCUCAAUAGUUAUUGUGAAUAUAAAUGUAUAAAAAGAUAUAAUCAUUUAGUUCAAGUAAGAUGUGAAGCAAAACUCUCUCAUGCGGUAAACAUAAAUUUGAUCAUGCAAUGCUAACAUAUUCAAUUUAGAAGUAAUGCAGUUAGAAUGGUGCAUUUAAAAAUUUCUCAAAAUGCCAUUAUACUUUGAAUUUUAUUGUGACGUUCUUCCAACCAAAGAAAAAAAUAAAAUUCAUCAUAUAUUUUAAAAUUAUUUGAUAAGGUUCAGUUGGAAUGAGAAUGGAGUUAGAUACCUUCUAGUGUGUGGCAUUGUAAAGAACAUUAGAUAUCUUCCACUGUAUUAUUUGACAAUACCAUGUAUAAUCAAUUUAUUUGUGACACCGAGUUAGAAAGAUUAUAGCCUCCAAGACAAUCUAGUCAAAAUUUCCUCCAAAAUUAGUCAUUUUGGAUGUCAAGAAUUAGCUCAAUAUCUCAAUACAAAAUUAUCUGGGUUGUCGAGGUUUUCAGUUAACACUAGAAUGUCAAGAACAGCAUGACGAACUGAAGGGUAUCAUUUCCAUUCAUGUCUUGGAGGAUUUUAGUAACUUUGCUAUACUUAGAAGAGCGGACAUUACCAAGAUCUAAAUAUUGAAGACUUGGAAUUAAUUACAAACAUUUGUGGGCUCCAAGUGUACUAUUUUUUCUGCUAUCUUCUUCUCAUUUGUCCCUCUCUAUUUCUUCCAUCACUUCACAACCCUAGUCAUGGAUAUAUUUACGUCAUUAAGGACUCAUUUGGUUGACGAAAAGUGGAGUAGGAAAGAGGUACUUUCUGAAAAGUGGACAGAAGAUCUCUUAUUGGUUGGAGUCUUAAAAGAAAAGAGUAAAUAAAAUUAUUUUCAUGAAAAGUCACUUUUCAUAUUUCAUGAAAAGUAGAAACAGAUGGAGAAUGUGGAUUUUAGCACUUCUCAUGGGAUGGAAAGUGGUACUACUUUGUUUUCUCCCAAAAUAUCCCUUUAGAUCAAUGGCUAAGAUUAUGCAAAAUAUCAAUGAAUAGUUAUGAUAAAAUACUGAAUAGUAAUAUUAUAUUAAUAUUAUCUUAAUAUUUAUAUGAAUAUAAUAUUAAUAUUAUAAUAUUUAUUAUAUUUAAUAUUAUUUUAAUAUUUAUACUAAUAUAAUAUUUUUAUUAAUAUUAAUAUAAUAUAAUAUUUAAUAUUAUAUUUAUAUCUAUAUUAAUAAAUUUAUUAUAUUAAAAUAUUAAUAUUAUAUUAAUAUAUAUAUUAGUAUUAUAUUAACAUAAUAAAUAAUUAUAAUCUAAUAUUAUAUUAUAAUAUAUUAAUAUUAUAGUUAUAUUAAUAUAAAUAUUAUAUUAAUAUUUAUAUAAAGUUUAAGAACAAAAAAAUAUGAUCUUAUAUCUAUGAAGGGUAUAAUAGGUAUUUUAUAUAAUUUUUUUAAGAAAAUGGAUGCUCGACCAAACAUAAAUUACUCUAUAAUAAAUCAUUUUCUCAUGAUCAACCAAACAUGUCAAAAUUCUAUUUUUAAAAAAAAUAAUUUUUUUUAAAAUUACUUCCUGAAAAGAAAAAUUUUUUUUGGGAACCAAACAAGUCCUAAAACAAAAGAAUCCUAUUAACCUUUCAAUACCUGAACAACAACAAAUAUAAUGUCAUCAACACCAUGCAAGUUAACUUAGUAUAUUCUAGCAUCCAAUGAAUGAUGCACCCUAAUGCUACUAUUACUAGACUUCAUACAACAGAACAUGUCAGUUAGAUGAUUGCACCAUAUUAAAGCAUGCAGAUCAUUGUGUUGCUUCAACAUAGCACUAUCCUCAUUGGUCAAGCUAAUACACUCAUUGCAAUCUAUUAUUUUAGUUGAGAUCCCAUCGGACCACACAUUGGAAGGUACCUAAUAUUCUUUAUUCAAUCAAAUAUUUACAUUAUGCAAAGGUACCAUACCAAUAUUCUUUAUAGUACCACAUAAAUGUACAUACAUAUACAAAUAUAUAUGUUACAUAAAUAUGUAUUUGUACACACAAUCCUCUCAAAUUGGAUUAACAAUAAGCAUGACUAAAAACAUGCAUAUAAUUAGUACAAACAAUAAACUAAUUUGGUACAAAAGAACCCACAGAGACAUACUCAAACAAGCAAAUGAGAUGAAGAUGAUGGAUACCUUUGGAUGAAAUUAGGCAACAGUAGAAUUUGAGGAACUCAUGAAGCAUCAAAAAUAGACCAAUGACGGUGGGGUUAGGAAAACUUCUAAGCAGAAGGGCCAACGACAAUGAGAAGAUGAUGAUGGAUAGGGUUUCAAAAAGCCUCGAGAAGGAUUGACAGCAGGAUGGAAUUUUGAAAAAUCCUGAGAAGAAGGGCCAACGAUGGUGGGUCGCUGCGGUGGGGUGGUGAGAAGUCUCGAUAAGAAUCGACGGUGGUGGGGUGACAGUGGUAGGGUUUAAGAAAGUCCCAAGAAAAAGGACCGAUGGCAAUGGAGUUGGAUUUGGAAGUCCCAAGAAGGCUGAUGGUGGUGGGGUGGCGAUGAUAGGGUUUGAAAAAGUCUCGAGAAGAACUAACAAUGGUGGGGUUAGAAAAGAAGAAGAGAGCUCGGACUGACAGAGCAGGAGGUUUGGAAGGAGAGUAGGAUGAUCGACAAAUGGAACUUCUCCUUUAAAUGGAGAGAUAUUUAUGACAACGGGAAAGAGUAGCUUCUGCCAGUGAGAAAAAGAGAUCAUCCUUUCAUGUUUUGCUGAUGAGAGAGAAAAAAUAGCAUUUGAAAGAGAGCUCAUCCCUUUCGUAUCUCAUCCCCAUUAAUACAUAUUUUUUUAUUAUUUUUAAACACCAUCUCAUCCAAACAAAAGGUUUAUAGGUCAGAGAGCUCAUCAUCUCAUUCGUAUCCUAUCUUCUCCAUUAAGACUUUUUUUUGUUUUCAAAUGUUAUCUCAACCAAACAAAAGCCAAUACAAUUUCAUCCCUCGUAAAUGAGUAUUUUUUUAAAAAAAUAAACCACAUCAGUCAAACGGCCAUGGGAGCCCCUUCGUUAGCUAAACAUGAGUGCAUCAAGAUCCACAUCAAUCCAAGGAUUAGGGAAUUGAUCAGAUUUGGGCUCAAAUCUGAUCAAUCUGAGUCCAAUCUAUAUACAUACAUGCGCCUAUAUAUAUAUAUGUGUGUGUGUGUGUGUAUAGACAUACAUACAUACUGUUGAGGUAAACCGACCGACCCCGACUUUGGUCUCCAUGACUCUGACUAUGCAUCGAUCGAACAGACAGCUCUGAUUCUUCAUUGACCGACCAAACUAAUUGUACCGAUCUACUAUCGGCUGAUCAAUUAAGAUCGAUCGACCGACUGAUAUUUGACUACCGACUACCGAUCAACGACAGAUGACUUGACCGUCGGCAUAAUAGAACUAAUAGCCGACAGUCGCUUAUAGAUUCUACCAAUAUAUGGUCGGUCAGUCAACUCGGAUAUAUCAUAACCGUCACAAACGAUUACCGACCGCAUAUCACAGCGCGAUCAGUGAAAAUUAACGAUUCACUACGCGAUUAUGAUCCAAUGAUUCAGCACCAUAAAACAUGGGACUACGUCUGACGGUUACGAAAAUCUCAUUUAUAAAAGGGGAUAAGAGAAAUAGGAUUGGUAAGCCAACAUUGGGUUAAAACUCUGCUAUUGCUUAUAUUCAACUCCUGUUCACCAACUUCCCUCUCUGACUUAGGCAUCGGAGGAUCUCCGUCGGAUACAAAUUCGAUCUGCAUAGAUGCUAUUUUGCAGGUGUUCAUUCCCGAUGACAGGCGAUGGAGAGUUGGCCGCAACAGAUUGACGCAUCAGGUAGGGGGCAGCAAUCGUAUUCACUAUAGUGAAAAUCAGAGUCCAGCAUUCUACUGCAAUCGGGUCGGCGAGACACUCAUCCCGUCGAGAAGAGGUUCCUCCCCCUCCUCUAGUAGCAAAGCCUAGUUCUUCACGUCCUGUGAUCACCACGGACGUCCAGAUCGCUGCACUCAUGCAGUAGAUGAAUGUCCUCACGGAGACAGUCAAAAGUCUCCAACAGCAAUAAACCCAGCAACAACAGCCACCGGCAGAGCAACCGAUGGCACAAUCAGUGCCGUCCAGGCACAAUCAGUGCCGUCCAGGCACAGCCUCGUCAUCCACGACGAUCACCAUCUCCUUCUCUGGAGCGACCAUCUCGACUUCUCCGUCGAGACGAACAACGACAUUCUCGACACUCUCAGCGUGCCACUCAUCGUUCCCGACAUUCCCUCUCUCCUUCCCAUCUCAAUAGUAUUAGAAAGGGGAAUCAACCGCGAACGCCCUUCAUGUCUCCUUCAAACUCGUCGGGUGGUUCUACCUCCAGAGUUUUCCAAUGGCAAUCGAUGAUUAUGAAUGUAAAUUUUAGUAGAUCAAUCGCCAACUCGCUCAGCUUCAAAUGGAAGAUCGGAAGUCCUCCAACGACUACGACUUUCACACCACCCAGCCGCUUUCUCAGCACGUCUUGGACCAACCGAUUCCAUCUCAGUUCAAGAUACCUUAGGUGGAGCCAUACGACAGAUCCACCGAUCCGAUUGACCACCUUGAGAGCUAUGAGGCUCUCAUGACGAUUCAGCGGACGACUGACGUCCUCUUAUGCACUAGCUUCCCGAUAACUCUUCGAAAAGCUACUCGAGCCUGAUACUCUGGGCUUCAAUCAGGAAGCAUAUAUUUUUUCGGACAGCUAGAAUAUUCUUUCGUGGCUCACUUCAGCACCAGUCGAAGGCCACUAUGAAUUUCUGAUAGUCUCUUCUCGAUUAAGCAAGGAGAGACUGAAACACUUCAAGAUUUCGUGGCUCGUUUUAAUACAGCCACACUUGAGGUCAAAGACCUCAAUAAAAACAUAACUAUCUCAACCAUAUAAAGAUGUCUGAAGGGAUCUCGAUUCACAUAUUCUUUGGACAAAACUCUUCCUCGAACUUAUGUCGAACUUCUGGAGCGUGCAUACAAAUAUAUGCACGCAGAUGAAGGAGCUUCUGACCAACGUCAGAAAGAAAGCAAAAGUCAGAAGAAGAAAUAGAAGAAGGAAGAAGCUCCGAUCGAAUCAAAUCGGCCACUGUCUAAUAAGUGAGCUUCACCCCAACGACGGAGUCUAAGGUCGGAUUCGGCAGGUAUGACUCCGAUACUCCUCUUUCCACUCCUCGUGUGCAAAUCUUUAUGGAGAUCGAAUGAGCAAAAUAUCUACGAUACCCCCUACCGAUGAAAGCGUUAUCGAGGAACCGCGAUCGGAGGAAGUAUUGUCGGUUUCAUCAUGAUCACAGUCAUGAUACCGAACAAUGCAUCCAGCUCAGGGAUGAGAUAGAAGCCCUGAUUUGACGAUGCUACCUUGAAAAAUAUCGAAGAGAUCCGCCGACUCAACCUCCUGCUGAUCGACGACCUCAACUGCAAACUGAGGAAGCUGUAAAUAAUCAACCGACUGCAGAGGUGAUCAAUAUGAUCUCCGGACGAUUGAACGGGGGGGCAACUUUCAAAGAUGAGUCGGCAAAGCGACGACGACUCGACAAUGUAAUAACUUUUUCAGAAAAUAUUCGAAGAAUUCAGACUUUCCAUGAUGAUGCCAUUGUUGUUUCGGCAACAAUAGCGAACUAUGAUGUAAAAAAAAUUCUUGUAGAUAAUAGAAGUUCAAUUGAUGUUUUGUUUUAUUCGACUUUCUCCCGAAUGUGACUGCCAACUGAUCGACUCAGAAGAGUCUCGACGCCACUGAUCAGCUUCACAAGAGAUGCUGUCACAAUGGAGGAAGAAAUUUCUCUCCUUAACUGUUGGGACCGAACUACAACAGAACACUCUUUUCAUAACGUUCACGAUGGUUCGAGUACCUUUGACUUAUAAUACCAUACUCGGACGAUUUAGGCUUAACGCUCUUAGAGCAUUGGUUUCGACAUACCAUUUAUUAGUUCGAUUUUCGAUAAGAUAUAGAGUCGAAGAGAUACGUGAAGAUCAACAACUCGCCCGAUGUUGCUUCUUUGUCUUCAUCCAAAAUAAUAAAUCUGAAGACUCUUUGCCUGUUGACGAAUUAGACCAAAAAAAAAUCAGAAGAGGGGUGAACCAGCUGAACAAUUGAUUUUCAUCCUGUUAAAAGAAGAUCUCGAAAAAACGAUCUGAAUUGGAUCACAAUUAUCCGACUUAGAGUGGCAACAACUAAUAAAAUUACUCAGAGCCAACGCCGACAUUUUUACUUGGUCGGCCACCGACAUGCACGAGAUUCCUUCAGAAAUAAUAACUCACCGACUUAACAUCAAUCCAAAUGUUAAGCCGAUGAGACAGAAGAAGUGACCUUUUGCUCCUGAAAGAUAAAAGAUCAUUGAUGAAGAAGUCGACAAACUCCUCGCAGCAGGCUUCAUCAGAGAAGCUACAUAUCCCGACUGGCUUGCCAAUGUGGUAAUAGUAAAAUAAGCCAAUGAAAAAUAGAGGAUCCGCAUCGACUAUACCGAUCUGAAUGUAGCUUGUCCGAAGGACAGCUUUCCGUGGUCGAAGAUUGACCAAUUGGUUGAUGCGACUUCUGGCCACCGACUUCUGAGUUUCAUGAAUGCCUUCACUGGAUAUAAUCAAAUCCGCAUGGCACCAGAAGAUGAAGAGCACAUGAUUUUUGUGAUCGACAAAGGCAUAUACUAUUACAAAGUAAUGCCUUUUGGUCUGAAAAAUACCAACGCUACCUAUCAACGGCUCGUCAACAAGAUCUUCAAGACACAGAUCAGAUAAAAUAUGAAAGUAUAUGUGGACGACAUGCUGAUGAAGAGUCUCUAAACUUCAGAUCACAUUUAGGACCUAGAGGAAGCUUUCGACACACUCCGACGGCAUCAGAUGAAAUUAAAUCUGACUAAGUGUGCAUUUAGGGUAACCUCCAGAAAAUUCUUCGAAUUUCUUGUUUCACAAUGAGAGAUCGAGGCUAAUCCCGAAAAAAUCAAAACCAUUAUCAACAUGAAACACCCGAGUUCAAAGAAAGAAAUACAGCAACUCAAUGGAAGGAUUGUCGCACUCAGUCGAUUUAUUUCUAGAUCGACUGAGAGAUGCUUGUCAUUCUUCAAAACUUUGCGACAGACGAAAGAUUUCUCAUGAUCGGAUGAAUAUCGAUAAUCUUUCGAAGAUUUGAAACAGUACUUGGUUUCUCCACUUUGCUCACAAAACCAAAGGUCGGAGAGACAUUGUAUUUCUACUUGGCAACUUCAGCAGAAGCAGUUAGUUCGGUGCUCGUCCAGGAGGAUGAGAACUGAAUCCAUCGACCAAUCUACUACACCAGCAAAGUACUUCACAAUGCCGAAGUCUGAUACUCAAGGACGGAGAAAAUGAUCUACAUCCUAAUCAUAUCGGCAUGACUUCGUCCGUACUUCCAAGCCCAUCCGAUUGUAGUUCUGACAGAUCAGCCGCUGAAGACAAUCUUACAUCGAUCUGACACGUCAGGUCGGAUGGCAAAGUGAGCAGUGAAACUUGACGAGUUCGACAUUCAAUGUCGCCCACGACCGUCCAUGAAGACGCAAGUCCUAGCCAAUUUUAUCGCCGAAUGUACUAUAUUCGAUAAUAAAUCAGAAGAUACAGAUGAUAACACAAUAAAAGAGACUACGACUCUCUAACCCGACUUAAAGUCAACCUGCGUGCUGCACAUUGAUGGAGCAUCUAAUGCACAAGGUAGUAGAGCUGGCCUCAUACUCACGAAGUCCGAAGGUAUAGUCAUCGAGUACACCCUUCGAUUCAACUUUAAAGUCUCAAAUAAUCAAGUCGAAUAUGAAGCACUUUUGACCGGCUUGAAGAUAGCUAAGGAGCUUGAGAUUUACAGUUUGAAGAUCUUCACCGACUCAACUGAUCGCUGGACAGGUCAAAGAUGAAUUUGAGGCUCGCGACCCCAUUAUGAUGAAGUAUCUUCAGAAGGUGAAAGAUUUUACAGUAAGCUUGAAAUAUUUUGAGAUCUUUCACAUUUUCAAAAUCAAAAAUACUCGAGUCGACGUAUUUUCACGACUGACUACUACCGCUUUCAACUCGCUGGAUCGGACAUUUGUUGAAUACCUCGAACAGCCGAGUAUUGAUAAAAUCGAGGAGGUAUUGCAACUCACUAUUGAACCAAGCUGGAUGGAUCCGAUCGUUCAAUACCUGACCGAUGGGACCUUUCCUGCGGACUCCUCAGAAGCUAAACGACUCCGAUGGAUGGCCUCUCAAUAUGUAAUAAUGAAUGGUUAUCUUUACAAAAGAUUAUUCUCUCUUCUUGCUGAAGUAUUUAGGACCUACAGAUGCCGACUAUGCACUUAGAGAAAUGCACGAAGGGAUUUGCGAAAAUUACUUGGACGGCAAGUCUCUAGCUUAUAAAGUUCUACGACAAGAAUAUUAUAGACCCACCAUGAAAAAAGACGCAGCUGAACUCAUCCGAAGGUGUGAACCAUGUCAGAAGUAUGCAAAUAUACAACAUCAACCGGCUAGUCAGCUGACGUCGAUUGCAGCACCAUGGCCCUUCGUACAAUGGGGGAUUGACAUACUUGAUCCUUUUCCUCCGACAUCUGGUCUGAAAAAAUUCACAGUGAUCACUAUCGACUACUUUAUCAAAUGGAUAGAAGCCGAACCUCUGACGCAAAUCAUUGAAAGCAAGAUGAAAGACUUCAUUCAAAAAUUUAUCAUUUACAGAUUCAGUUUGCCACACACCAUCAUCACCGAUAAUGAUCGACAAUUUGAUAACCAAAAUUUCAGAGAAUUUUGUACGAAAUUUCAUAUUACGCACAAAUUCACGUCGGUCAACCAUGCACAGUCAAAUGGCGAGGUGGAAGUAACCAAUCGGACAAUCCUACACGGACUAAAAACCCAACUGAACGAAGCCAAAGACCUCUGCGUAGAAGAAUUAUAUCCGAUCUUAUGGACGUAUCGAACGACUCCCCGCAUAUCGACUGGAGAAUCUCCUUUCAACUUAGCUUAUGAGACAGAAGCAAUGAUACCACUGAACAUCGGAUUGCCGUCAACAAGAGUGAAGCAAUAUAGUGAGCCGAGCAACUCCGAACAUCGGAGAGCCGACUUAGAUCUUCUUUCAGAACUCCGACAGCAAGCUCAAAUUCGGAUGGCUACAUAUCGGCAAAGAAUAGCCCGGUAUUACAACCCAAGAGUCAAGCCGAAGGUCUUUCGACCAGGAGAUUUGGUCUUAAGAAAGUAGAAGUCUCAAAAUCCUUGGAUCAAGAAAAAUUAUCCCCGAACUAGAAAGAACUUUACAAAAUAUCCGAAACUCUUAGACCGGACGCAUAUCGACUAGAAACUCUUGAAGGAUCGACGAUUCUCCAAACAUGAAAUACCGACAAUCUGAAGAUGUAUUAUCAAUAAAGUCGUUGAUAUGUAUAUUAUUUAAAAUAUAAUUAAAAUUUCAGAAUCGCAAGCCUUUGAUAAGUUUUAUCAAUUACUGACUAUAUGUCGACUUUCAUUGUCAAAAUCGAGCUAUCUACUGUACUUUGACACGAAGUUUAUCUCAGCUUCCACUAUAAAAAUCAAAGAAUCAAUUGCUUCGAUGACGACUGUAUUUUGAUUUUCAUGCAAAAACUGACAUACCGAUUGCAAUCUCAACCGACAUCGACCACACAGGCUUUCACCGCAAAAGCCGAAUCGUCGAUUACACUUCGGUUCUCAAUGUUGGCUCUCCAUUGUAAAAGCUUACUAUCGUCGAAAGACUAAUAUGCUGAUUUAGUCCCAACUAAGUGAAACGAAAAAUGCCAAAACGACCAAAGUUGGAUUGAAAUUAUACCGACUAGGCUACGGCCAGUUGAGGGAUAUUCGACUUGCCAUCGAUUAUCAGAUAAUUCGACGUACAAAUUCGAUCAAAUAUCGGGCACAAAAUAUUCGACCUACAAUCGUUAUUCUAAUUUUUAUUAAGUACGUCAAAAUGACUACACGACUGAUGGACAUUCUACAAAUCCUAUCGAAUGAUUGGGUUGCCGAUUAAUGUUCGAUGGUUAUUCUACAUUGCAACAAAAUUGUGGACAAGUAAAACAAGAGCCUAAACUUAAAAGGAGAAUACUUUCAUUCACUAUCAAUAAAGGAGUUACAAAAUUGGAUCGAAGUCUGACUACAAGUAUCAGAUUACAGAAACAAAAAAAAAAGGAAUACACCGACUAAGCUUCAUCAUUAUUCCAGUUUCUUUGCUCGGGUGUAGCAUCAUCGACUUGAAUGAUUUUGGACCCAAUCGGUGCUUCUUCUUGAGUCGGAGCAGCUUCUUCUUCAGCAAUUCCGCCUUCCGAUCUUAGAGGGACGAUGCUGCUUAAGUCAAGGCUCGAGCAUAAUUUUUCAACCGCAUCUCACUCGUCUUCAUACCCGACGCAGUACGAAGCGAAGCCACUUUCGAGGAUCUCUUGAAUUCUUCCGAACCUUGAAAAUCCUCGACUGUCCAACCCAGUGCUUCUCUUGCCGACUCUGCUUCCGCCUUAGCCAAAUUAGCAUCGGCUUGAGCAAAGGACAAUUCUUCUUCGGUCAGUGCCAACCUUUCCAGACUGGUCCGAUGACGUCCACGUUCGGCUUCGAGUUCUUCGAUGCAUCCGUCUCGCUCUCAUCGAAGCUAGUGGAUAGAAUGCUUCUUGCUCUUGACCUGUGACUCAAUAGCCGAAAUAGCCCCGUGAGUCGACUUAAGUUCGGCCUCCGAGGAUGCCAAGUCAUCGGUUAGUCAAGAAACCUCCUUCUGAAGUUUAGCUUCCCGCUUUGUCGCCAACUUAAGUUGUUCAAGUGCAGCCACUUUCUCAGCAUCGACGGCUGCCAUCUUAUUCUUCCACGCACUACGGAUGUCAAUGAACUUCGUAUAGCCGACCUCCAAAUCAGACAUGUCGUGGAUCAACUGCAGACAGAGGAUAAGUCAGAUUUAAAAAAAAAAAAGAAAGUUUACCAAAGAGACUUACCCUGAUGAUUGUCGGAUAAAAAGAUAAAAAUAUCUCAACCACCAACCGUUUCCUCCGACGCUCCCGAUCAGCCGGAAGAAGAGUCGUCUGGCACAAUCGCUUGGCCAGUACAGAAUUAACCAGGACUGAUUCAUCGAUGGGCACUUGGAAGUCGAAGUAUACCACAUGGCCCUCCGAUGUUGCAUCAUCCGCUGAUACCAUCAGAGCUUUCCCCUAGUUUGCUGUCGGCGGCCCCAUGUUUGAAAAUGAGGGAAAGCUUGAGCUUGACUGCACCCCAACUGAAAGAGCAAUUGGCACAGUUGCAGAUUGUUCAGGCUCUCUUGUCUCGGCCUAAACCUCCUCAAGUGGUGAGAUUACCGAUGUUGUUUCGGUAGUUCCCCUCGCCGCCCUUCCCUCGGACGACGCAGCAGGGAGCACUGUCGGAGCUAACAGUGCCAAGACUGAUUCGAGAACCAAUGCCGAUGGGGCAUCGAAUUCCAUGGUCGAUGUUGAAAUGCCGACUGAAGUUGGUGCUUGAUGCCUCUUCGGCAGUCGCGAAGGCCCAACCUCAAAUGCCGCCCUCUUCUUGAAAGCGUGCUGACGAAUGUAGGCAUUCGACACUCGUACCCUCUGCUGCAUAGCCAUAAUUACAAUGGAGGUCAAUACAAUUCAGCAAGUAAAAGAAAAGUCAGAAAUAAUCGACCAACUAUACUAUACCUAGACGAAGAAUCGAACUAAAGCCGGUGUCAUAAAGGGCCUGUUCGGUUACAAGCUCUUUCUAUUUCAAGACUGACAUGUCUUUCAACCGGUGAAAGUCCUCCUGAUCAUCGACCUCUACUCGACUGUUGUCGUUGGGACCGGUUCGUAGAUCGCCCCAACGAAAAGAAAAAUUCUAAGGAAAAGAAGAAGAAGCAAAGAAAAACUGAUUCUUCCAUCCAUGAAUGGACGAUAGAAGACCGAUAAUAAAGGAAAGACCUUUUCGGAGGUUGAAGAACCACCACCCUCGGACCUUCGGAUGAGGUCCGAGGAUGAAGAAAGUUCGAAAAAGAGAAGGACGGGGCAUGGUCAGCAACAUCCGACACAAUAAAACAAAACUAAUUAUCAAUCGGACCGAGUUCGAUGCUAGCUGAGCCGGAUAAAAUCCGUAAUAAUCCAAAAUAUUUCAGACAAAUUUUGAAAAUCGAAGAUCCAUCCAAAGAUCUUCGACGUAGAAGGCCACCUGGCCCGAAGGUGGGUUAUUCACCCGACCAUCGGCCUCAGGGGUGAAAAGUUGAAACUGCUCCAAGAUACAAAACUACUCCCGAAAUCGUUCAACGUUCGGUUCCGAAAGUGAAGAGACCUCCACAUCCGGACUCGACUGAGAGAUUUAUCAGUCGGAUUCUCCGAUCGAUCUUCCUGAGAAGAAGAAGCCCUAGUCUUGAGAACAACUCUGAAGAAGACAGAGACUUUAGAGGAAAGGACUCAAAAGAAAGAUGAAGUUGACCUGAAAGUUGGGAGCGAUAAUCUUAGACGUUGAGGCAACAAUCCGACAGAAUCCCAACACCAAAAGCAGUGAAAAGUGAAAAUAUGACUGAGAGCGACCCUUUAUAUAGGAUCCCUCAACCGUCGAGAUGAAGAUGGUUAAAUCGAAGAUCUUUUAGAUGACGACACAUGGCAAUAUCUAGACCAAUCAUUGAUCGAACGGUUCGACGCAUUUGUCCUAGAUUGAGUCACGUCAUCUCUAUCCGCGUGAUCAAUUUCGAUCCAAUAACAUUCGGAUACGUGAAACAAAUCUACUUGUUAGAAUCAUAUCAUCCGACGUCGAAUUGACUUUUCGAAACGACGCCUCACACUUACAACUGAUAUCGAAUCAUCCGAUCAGUGUGACAGACAACUGUACCUGCCAACACGAUAAAAUAAUCGAUCACUCGUAUCUCAGAGAAAACGACAUCAAAAUCGAAGCUUGAUGUGAUAGAACUCUCUUCAUCCAACGUGAUAAAUCACGUGACAGUUCACACGUCGAAUCACUUUGGACUUGAGAGUGAGGGGCAACUGUUGGGAUAAACCGACCGACUCCGACUUUGGUCUCCAUGACUCUGACUAUGCAUCGAUCGAAUAUACAGCUCCGAUUCUUCAUUGACCAACCGAACUAAUUACGUCGAUUUACUGUCAGCUGAUCAAUUAAGAUCUAUCGACCGACUAAUAUUCGACUACCGAAUAUCGAUCAAUGACAGACGACUUGACCGUCGGCAUAACAGAACUAAUAACUGACGAUCGCUCAGAUUCUACCAACAUAUGAUCGGUCAGUCAACUCAGAUAUACCAUAACCGUCACAAACAGUUAUCAACCGCAUAUCACGGCGCGAUCAGUGAAAAUUAAUGAUUCACUAUGCGAUUAUGGCCCAAUGAUUUAAUGUCAUAAAAUACGGGACCAUGUCCGACGAUUACGAAAAUCUCAUCUAUAAAAAGAGAUAAGAAAAACAUGGCUGGUAAGUCAAUUCUGGAUCAAAACUCUACUAUUGCUUACAUUCAACUCUUGUUCACCAACUUCCCUCUCUGACUUAGGCACCAGAGAAUCCUCGCCGAACACAAAUCCGAUCUGCGUGGAUGCUGUUUUAUAGGUGUUCGUUCCCGAUUACAAGCGACAAAAAAUUGACCGCAAUACAUACAUACAUACAUACAUACACAUAUAUAUGCAUAUGUAUAUGUAUGUACACAUACAUACAUACAUGCAUACAUAUAUAUAUAUAUAUAUAUAUACAUAUAUAUAUACAUAUAUAUAUAUAUACGUAUACAUACAUAUAUACAUACAUACAUACAUACAUACAUACAUACAUACAUACAUACAUACAUACAUACAUACAUAUAUAUAUAUAUAUAUGCUAGGAUUGAGAUUUGUUGGAAAAAAAAUUAUGCUUCAAUGUCCAUUAUUUUGCAUAAGGAUGGCAACAAAUGGUUUAUUAAUAAUGGAAAACGUUGGUGUCACUUUCCCACAUCACCAUUCACUUAACAAAAAAAUCAUAAGUCAUAAAAGUUUUUGCAUAUAUACCUUUCAGGAACAGCUUAUUUGCUUAUUAUAGGAAAAUGAAGAGCACUUAUACGUACUUCCACAAGUGCGAAACUUGCAUAUAUAACCCUCCAAAACUCUGAUAAUUGUAUAUGUGCUUCUGUAGAAUAAUUUGAAAAUUGCAAACAUGCCCAUGAUUAGGUUUCAUUCUUCAAGUAAGAGGCAAUGUACUAUAUUAUUCUACCAUUAUANNNNNNNNNNNNNNNNNNNNAAUUGAAGUUUGAGGUUUCUUUAUUAUUGGUUUUUAUUUUAUGAUAUGCCUGCAUGUAAGAGCCCGUUAGGUUUGGUGUAGCCUCUUUGGGCCAUUUCGGUUAAAACGGAACACGCCAGCUUGAAUGUUUUGAUGGAGGCGAAAGCCACCUGUCCUAGGUGAAAGCUACGCAUAAAGAGCUUACCGCAGGAAUUUACAGCCAGCUCCACUUUGGACCGAAAUAAUGCCUAAAGAAAAGCCCAGUUGGUCCCAUUUAAGUAUUGAUACUAAGUUACAGGCAACCAAACAUGCCCUAAGGCUUUAGGAAUCUAUACAUAUUUAUGAGCGAACACCUCGUUGCCCGGUUUAGUAAGAAUCAACGAAUAGAUGUUGAAACAUGAAAUUUUUUUUUGUGCACAUAAUGUGAAACAUUCCGCAUCGUCCUAUUAGACCACAUAAUCAUCAUUUUCUAAUACACAUUUAAUAUCUAUAAUUCUACUUUUUCAAUUCAAAUUUUAAAUGAUGAAAAUAUUUCUUUCUUUUCGAAAAAAUUAUGACAUUCUAUGCUGAUAUUAUAAUAUUCUGCAUUGAAAUUAUGAUUUUCUAUACAGAAUGUCAUAAUUUUUUCACAGAAUAUCAUAGAGAAAAAAAUAUUUUCAUCAUUGAAAAAUUGAUGAUAAUUUUUCAUUGACGAAAAUAUCUUUUCCUCUUUACGAUAUCCUGUGAAAAAAUUAUGACAUCAUAUGCAAAGAGUCAUAAUUUCAACGCAGGAUGCUAUAAUACCAGCACAAGAUGUCAUAAUUUUUACGAAGAGAAUGACACUUUCAUCGUUCAAAAUUUCAAACAAAAAAUUAAAACUACAUAUAUUAAAUAGAUAUUAAAUACAUAUUGAAAAAUAAUAAUCAUAUAGUUUAAUAAGAUGAAAUGGUGCGUUCCACAUUAGAUUUUCCACGUCACAAGCAGUGCACAAAGAAAUUCGUGUUGAAACAUUGACGCUGCUUCAAGUUAAAUAUUGUUCUGGUUACCUUUAGCUUUCAAUAUAUCCUUUAAAAGUAUAAAUAGAUCCAUGUAGAACCUUUACAUUAAUUGCAUUGCAUAAAUUUUGAUAAUUCAAAAACAUUAUAUUUGAUUUUUGCAUGCUAGAAAACUAACCAGCCUUUAUUUUUUUCUGUUUUUUUUAAUUCCAUUUAUACAUCCUGUUUUCAGCCCUCUAGAAAUAUUUCUCUGUUCAAAAGCAAACGCAAGAAAGUUCGUAGAUCCAACUGACUCAAUUAGUUUCAUACUAGACCCAACCUAACCCAACACAGAAAUAUGUUUCUCCAAAAGCAUGUGAGCUCUUCUUUCUGAAUCGAAGGAAAAGAAUUUAGCUUACAUAUUCUAAUUGCGUCUGCCAUUCUCAAUGUGAUAAAUCAAUAAAACGUCCAGAGCAUAGCUAACCGCUCACCGCUUGCGUAUGGGUGCAUAUUGGUCAAAAAGUCUCGCAUCAUCGUCCCUGAACUUCUCUUGCUCAAAUUUGGGCGACUUAAGAGGCUACAAACAAGCUCAUGUUAUAUGGCCAAGGGGCUCCGACGCAAGAAAGUUCGGCAAUAUCAACUUGGGUAGUCAUGGUAGAAAAAUAUUUGAUGAUCCUUCGGAACCUCUUCGCAUCUUUACGCCCCAUUUGGAAAGGGAAACGGGACAUUGGUUAUAAAUAUUGUUUGUACCGGAUAGUUUUUAAUCUUGGUUAGGUUUAGUUGAGCUGGGUCCUUUCAUUUCUUCCCACGGGAAGUGAGGCAGUGUAAUGCUUUUUGUUGCCGCCAGAAAGAUGAUCUAGCUUAGACCAUUAAGUUGAAGUCAGGAAAGAGAGAAGUAGUGAUCUCCAGAUGACUAAUCGAGAUCUCUGGGAUGCACACGAACUGGCACCUAAACCUCGAUCGAGUCCUCAAGUCGAACCCUAUAAAACCACCAAAGAUAGGAGAAAUCCUCGCGUCAAAUGGAGGAUUCCCGACGGCGAAUCCUCCAAUGCUUAAAUCAGUCUUCCACGGAAGCAAACAAAAAGAUCUGAGAUUUCGAGUUAGGUUUAUGAUGAUCAAGAUUAAGUAUAAGGUGGAAUAGGAGAUGAAGAGAUGGAAUGCAAAGGUCCAACGGGCUCCGAAUGAUGCUUAAAAUGUACCAGUAGAUUUCGAGAUGGGUUCAAAGUAUAUAGAAGAGACGAAUCUAGUGCGUAUGAAGUCCAUUCCCGGAAGAUGCCAUGCGAAGCAAGUGUUCACUUAUCUAGAGGAUUCAAAAAUCUUGAAAUUUAUGGACGAAGGUAGGUACCGUCGCUUGGAGGACGCAUACCAUUCCUCCCCCUAAAGCCCGCGAAGGUACAUUCAAGUUGUUAGGAAAUAACAGCUUGCACAUCCUGAGUUUAUUAAGGUUGCAUAAUGGGGGAGCAAGGCUGAUAGUUUGUAACCUAAUGGAUGGAAGACUCCAGAAUUCUGCUAAUACGGCCGCAAGAAUCCAUGUGACAGUGAUUUGUUGGCCAUUCUGGCAUCUAUCAACAAAGACGCACAUAGAGCCGUAUUGAGGUGCCAGUGCUAUAAUGGAUAGAAUAUUCUAAAUGUAUCAGUUGCCCCCCACUCCUGAGAUCAAGACGCCUUUUAGCUCGGACGAAGAAAAUAGAGGAUAACUUCAAAUACACCAUGGUGUUGACGAUCAAAGUUUCGAACCAAAGCCCUUACUCUCCGAGGCCAAUGAGGGACGAACCUUGCCAGCCAAGAUGCACCAAAGCCCUUACUCCAGAUCAAAGUUUCCAAGAUGGGCUUCGAAUAACCUAUCAAAAAAAGUGAAGAAUUUUGACAUUACAUGCCGUCUGAGGAGCUGAUUGGACACGCGCAUUUGUAGAGGACAUGCGCUCGUCCCUUCUUUCGAGAAAAUAAUUAUCACGGUAUGCAUAUUGUUCACUGCAGCGAUUGUUCUGCAAUAUUUAUCCGUACGAUGCUUUGUCGUCCAAUAAAGAGUUGACAUAUGAAUGUCGAUCAGACCAUCCAUCUAAAUUGCCAUCUUAUGACCAUCAUACAGGAGAGACGAGCGUCGCCUAGCGAUCCUUGUUUGCAAAGCAACAGCGGAAAAAAGGGUGCUGUAACUGUCAUAAUUCCCGAACAAUCUAAACGCACCUCCACAGGCCCUAGGGGUAGAAUGACACGUAUUCUCCAAAUGAUAGGUACCCACCUUUGUUUCUAAACUUCAAAUUUUCUGGACGCUCCAGAUAAGUGAACACUUACUCUGCAUGCCAUCUCUCGAUGAUAGACUCCAUAUGCACUAGAUUCGUCUCUCCCACAUACUCUAAGCCCAUCUUGGAACCCACCAAUACACUCCAAGCAUCAUCUGGAGUCCGCCAAACCUCCACACUGCAUCUUUCCAUAUCUAUUCCCCCUCAUAUUCAAUCCUAAUCAUCAUAAAUCCAACUCAAAAGCUCAUACAUCUUCUAUUUGCUUAUGCGGAAGACUGACUUAGAUAUUGGAGAGUCCGCCGCCAACUCAAGGACUCAAUUAAGGACCAAACAUUGACUCGUGAGCACCCUAGAGAUCUCGACUACCCCUCCAAAGACCACUGCGUCUUUCCUUCCCAACUCCAGCUCAGCAGCCUAAAUCAGAUUAUCUCCACAGCAAUAAUACUAUUAUUCAAUGUAAUGAUUACAAUUUUGAUAAUAUUGUGUCCAAACGUCAGAAGGAAAACAAGAUGCUGUUUGAAUAUUGCAUGAGCAUAAGCAUAUAAAAAAUUAAUUUUUUGUCUCAUAUUGGACAAGUUUUCCCAUCCAAAAAGAGAAAUAAUAUAAUAUUAGUAGACAAAUCUUAAAGUAAUAUUGAUGUGACAACACAAUAAAUAUUAAUAUAAUGUGAUAUAAUAACAUUAAUAUAUUAUAUAUUAUAUAUUAUAUUCAAAAAAAAUAUCUAAGGAAUGUUUGGUUGGAAAGAAACUGAAAUCUAGAAUCAAAAUGAAAAUGGAUGUUUCCAUUCCAACUAUUUGGUUGAAAAAAAUUUCAUUCUGAUUUUGAUUCACACAUAAAAUGAAAAUGAUCCAAUCUAUCUAAAAUUCAAUUGCUAUUCUCUUCGGAUUUCGAUAAAAAAUCAAACACUUUAACAGAUUUAGCCAUUCUGAUUUCAAUCCAUUCCGAUUUUCAUUCUAAUUAUGAAUCAAAUACCCUCACCAUCUUCCUCAACCACCCCCCCCAGGGAUAGUACAGUCGAAUUCGAAUCCCUAAUUAUCGAGCCAAGGAAACCAAAAUAUACCGUACAAUGUCACAAUACAGGUAUCAAAGACCAACCUCAUUUGAUACAACCAAUUACAAGACAAAGUAGAAAUUUAACAACCUCAUGUAAUAAAGCGGGUAGCAGUGAAAAAUUAGAUCCACCGAACAGUAGUUCAGUAAAAAAAGGUUAUCGGACACACAUUAAAUGAUCCUUGUAGCAGCAACCAUCGGUACCACUGGCAGAGUACAUACAUUGGGUUUAGCCAGUAGACCAAACAACCUAGGAGGUUGGAACCACCACCAUUAACCAAGGAACAUUCACACAAUGUGAGAAAACUUCCAUAUAGACUAAAACAAGAUAUGAUCGCAAUGACCUGGUUGAUCAUGAACCACAUUUGACUGGUUGUUUCAUCCAAGUCUGGAGUAAGAAUUAGUCAUAACUAGAAUUACGCUUUCAAGUGUUGGUUGACCCAGCCAGUACGCAACACCAAGCCAGCAUCAGAAACAACGGCAGGUAGGAAAAUACCUAUAUAACUCUUACUCUAUCCAUUAUAUUUUAACCAAAAAGAGCUUCCCACUUCGGUACAACAUGUGCGGGUACGUUAUAGCUGUUUCAGCUGGUGACUACCACACCACCAGCACCAAAUUGACUCAAGUUGUACUUGUAAGUCUUAAGUUUUGGGAUCUAAGAAAGCAGCAUAUUUAGUGUUGGAUAGAUGGUCUAAUUCGAGACCAUAUAAGAUUAAGUUGAAACUUAUCCAGGUCAUGUGUAGCAUUUGACUCUCAGUACCCAAUAUAUUAUUAAUUGGCCACAAAGUUCUCCGAUCUGGUAUCUGGGCACGUAUUGGUCAACGAUCGAUUCAGCACCAUGCAGAUCCACACGAUGCCAUUUCGGGGCAUACAAAAACAAGGAGGGAGAAAGAGCGGGAGAAAGAGAGGCUAAGGAACUUCAAGGGCUCGGGAUGUGUGUGUGUGUGUGUGUGUGGUUGGGGGUUCGGGGGGGUGGAGGGACAGAGGCACUCACCUGCUUAAGCGAUCGAGGGCUUACAUGGGAAUCGGCCGUAAGGGCUUUAGAAUAAGAGGGCUGCCUCCCAUAUAUACUUCAUACCAUGCUUACAUUUAUUUGGGAAAACAUCAUAAAAUUUGGGAAACAAAAGAGAAGGAAAAAAACAGAUUACAAAGCAGUUUCAAUAGACAUCUAACCCAUUAUAAACAGAAAAUACAAAGGUAAACAGAGUGCAGAGAAAAGACUGUGACUCUGAAAUAGAUAGAUAACACCAUAAUAAAAUAAUAGAUAACUAUAACCAGGACAAAAAGAUCGACUACAUACUAUCAAUAGUAAAAAUUAAUAGGUACUGCCACGUGUGUAUGAAAGGCAUCACAAAUUCAAAGCCGUUAAAGUAGACGUGCCAUCCAUCAUAAAUAGUAAUCACAAAGCAAACAGCUGCCACGAAGAGAGAGCUCAACCUCUAAAUCACAGAUAACAUCCAUAAUAUAGCCAAAAAACAACUAAACCGAGUAUAAAGAGAUUCAUAUCAUAUGACAGAUACAACAAACAAUAAAAAGAUAAAUAACUAGUGCCAAAGCAUACAUGUCUGUAUAAGUUGGAUAAAGUAAUAGUGGCUUCAAUAAACUGUGGGUGCAUGCACGAAAAAGAAUAGACACAACAAUGAUAAGCAAAAUAGAAAUUUAACCAACUAGUGUUGAUAAAGUGAGCAGUAGCAAAAAAUUAGCUUCUUGCAGAUCAAGGGAACAGAAAAAUUAAUUAAAAAUGGUUAUGUGACAUACAUUAAAUGACCAUUGUUACACUAACCAUUAAUAUCAUUAUACAAGGCAUAUACAUUGAGUGUGGUUAGUAGACCCAACCAUCUUGGAAGUUGGAACCACCACCAUUAACUCAGGGGUACACAAUGUGAGAAAACUCCCACAUGGACUACAAGCAAGAUAGUGGCAAUGACCCAAUUGAUCAUGAACCACAUCUGACAAUUUGUUUCAUGCAAAGUCUGGAGUUAGAAUCAGUCGUGACUAGAAUCAUGAUCCAUUGUGACUAGGAUCAUGGUUUCAAAUGCUGGCCGUUCCAGCCAGCAUGUACCCCACCACACCAGUGCUAGGAUCAAAGGCGUAUAGGAAACAUCUAUUUAACUCUUUAUUUAUAAAUUUUUAAUUAAAAAGGACUUCUUUUCAUUGCAGUAUAAGACGUGCUGGAACAUUAUUGCUGUUUCAGCUGGUGACUAGCACAACCACCAGCACCAAAACUUUAAACCCCGAUUAGAACUGAAUCCAAUAUCAUUAGUUCACAUUUCCACUUCAAGAGUCCAAAUCGGGGUUCGCCAAACUGUCCCAAAUCAUCCGGUUCAAGGCGUGCCGAAUAGUACCAGCGGCCAAUCGGAAUGGUUCUAGCAUUCGAAACAAAAAAUCGGUGAGAGGGGGAGGGAGAAGGAAAGAGAGGAAGAAAGGGGGGAUGGAAGGAGAGGGAGAGAGAGAGAGGACCUUUGGAAGCCAUCGGAGGGAGCCACUACCGAGCUCGCUGGAUGUCGAAAGGGAGGGAAGGAGAGGGGAGAGAGAGAGAGAGAAAGAGGAGGCCUCCGGAGGACCGGCAAGACCGCCAUGCCACCACCAAGGACGUCAAUAGCCCUCCCAUUGCCCACAACCCUUCUAAGAUUAGAUAAAACCCAAUGGAGCAAAAGAACACAAUUUUCUAUUUAAUGCUAAAGCCAUGAAACCAUGUCUAAGCUUUUCAUUCUGAACAAUUAAUCCUCUGUCUAAUGCUUUGACAAAAAUAGGUAAAGGGAAGUGGAUUAGCAAGAGGCACAACAUGUAUGGGAGACGCCACCUGCUCAUAAGAACAAGGGAAGGAGAGAUGAACGAGGUAACAACCUUUACAUUUUCCUACUUUGCAUAUAAGCAGGAGAUGCCGCCUGCAAUAACUUCUAUUCUUUGUUAACACAUGCUAGGAAUGGACCUUUUUUUACUUCCACAAGAGCAUCUGAAGGAAAGUUUUGAAUCCCUAUUUACUACCUUCCCUUUUAAACCAUCUCAAAAGUUUGACAUUCUAACCAAUUAAUCCUCUACUUAAUGAUCCGACAGUUAUAUGCAAAGGGUGGUGAAUUAGCAACAAGUGCAAACAUGUUGGGAGAUGCAACUUGCUCUAAUUUUUAUUCUUUAGUUAACAUGCUAUAAAUGGAUCCAUCCACAAAAGCAGUAGAAAGAAAGAUUCUAAUUCCCUAGUUUCCAUCUUCCUUUUCAAAUCAUAUCAAAAGCUUUCCAUUCUAAGUCCAUCAUCUAAUUAAUGAUUUCACAAAGGGCGGCAAAAGGAGAUAGAUUAUCAAACAAAAUUGGUGUACUGGAGUAGCAAGAGGUAGAAAUAUGGACACAUCCCCCUUAUUAUGUUUGCCUCUCUAAAUACAAAUGGAUUGACAUUUUGAGAUACUAUUUAGAUCAUUUUUUAUGCACACAUUCCCUAGCACCCUCAUCUAUUUCAAUCCUCACAAACUAUGUGAUGUAUUUUCCAAGAUCCUUUGUUAACCAAUUUUUGCUACUAAGAAUAAAGGAAGGUGAAACAAACAAGAGAAACUGCUAAGAACAAGAAAGCAACCUAUGUCAACCCCCGUCAAGGUUAGGUUGAGGUUUUAUAAAUUGGGUUGGGCUUGCACUCAAAAAUUCUAAACCACCUCAAGUACGGUUGGGUUACGGUGGACCUUCGACUCGACCAAAACCCAACCAAACCCGACCAACCUGAUAUAUAUAAAUAAAAACAUAUUUAUAUUUAUAUUUCACAUAGACUAUUUGUAGACUUAUAAAAUUACAUCUUCCUUCUAAAAUUAUGUAUACAUGUGCCACUGAAAUUGAUGAAGGGAUGAGGCAUCAACCUAACAAAUAUCAAUCCUACAAUAGCAUCCCAAACCGCUUCUUUGUCUUAAGAUUCUCAUUCGACCGUGCCAAAGUUAAUUAAUGCGGCACAAUCUUAAUCCGACAUAACUAACACAACUCAACCCAAUUUAGCUCAAGAUGGGGUUCAGUAGGACUCAAUUAGAGAAUCCUAACUACACCCUAGUUUUGGUCGAGUGAUGAUUGGGAGAUAUAGGGGUAGGUUUGCAAAUGGACUUGGGUGCAUACAAAGGGCCCAAACAUGUUGUAAUUUUAAGUUAAUUAUCAAUAAUAAAAAAGCACAGAUGUUUAAGAAUAUUGAUAAAUACUCAAAUCAAAAAAAAAGAAAAUAAAUUGAUGCACUAAAAGAAAUAAGGUGAAUACCCAUGGAAGCACAUGGAACAAAUUUGCACUGCAAUGCUAUAAAAACAUGAAAUUUAAAGAAUUCAUAAAAGAUAAGAAACAAGUACCAACUACAUGAUUUUGGGUUAUAAGUGCUACUAUUGUUAAAUAAUGUUAUAAAUAUAAUCUUUCUUCAUUUAUUUGCAUUCAAAUUGCUAAUUUUGGAACAUAUCUUUGAAAUAUAGUUUGGACUACAAGUUAUGUGAUGUUGUUUGGUAUUUAUGCAAGCUAAUGAUUUCGACACAAAGGGAAAAUCUUGACUAGCACAUUUGACUUAAUACUCCUAUCUCUUUUCUCACAUAAUAUAGUAUUUAGAUAAUAAAACAUGAUUUAAAAAAUAAAAUAAGACUAUCAUAUAGCAAAUUCUACCCUUAAAACUCAAACCGGGUCAAAGCUUGCACCAAUAACCAGCCCAUUCGAAAUGCAUAAUGUAAAAGUCCAAGCUACGCCCAAUUAAACUAUAUAUAUAUAUAUAUAUAGAGAGAGAGAGAGAGAGAGAGAAGAGAGAGAGAGAGAGAGAGAGAGAGAGAAGAAGAAGAGAGAGAGAGAGAGAGAGAGAGAGAGAGAGAGAGAAGAAGAAGNNNNNNNNNNNNNNNNNNNNAGAGAGAGAGAGAGAGAGAGAGAGAGAGAGAGAGAGAGAGAGAGAGAGAGAGAGAGAGAAGAAAAAGAAGAAGGGGAAGUAGAAGAAGGAGAAGAAGAGGAGGUAGAAGGAGAAGAAGAAGAAGAAAAGGAAGUAGAAGAAGAUGAUGAUGAAGAUGAAGUAGAAGCAAAAGAAGAAGAAGAGAAAGAGGAAGACGACGAAGAAGAAGAAGAAGCAACAGAAGAAACAGGAUAAGAAUAAGUCAGACAAGGAGACAGAGAAGAAGAAAAAAGAUGAAAAUGGAGGAGGAGAAGAAUGAGAAAGAGAGGGAGAAGAAGAAGAUGAUGAUGAAGAAGAAUAAGGAGGAGAAGGAGAAUAGGAAGAAGGAGAAGAAGAAAUAGAAGAAGAAGAAGGAGGAGAGGAAGAAGGGCAAGGAGGUGGAGGAAGAAGAAGGAGAAGGAGAAGGAUAAUGAAGAAGUAGGAAAGGAAGAGGAAGAGGUAUAAGAAGAAGGAGAACAAGAGGAAGGAAAAGGAGAACAAGAAGAAGAAGGUGAAGAAGAAUUAGGAAGAGGAACAAAGAAGAAGAAGAAGAAGAACUGGAAGAAGUAGAAGAAUAAUGAGAAGAAUAAGAAUAAGGAGGAGGAGGAGAAGAAGAAGAGGAAGAAAAAGAAAAAGGAGGAGAAGAAGAGGAAGUAUGAGAAGGAGAAGAAGCAGAAGAGGAAGCAAAAGAAGGACAAGGAGAAGAAGAAGCAAGGUAAGAAGAAGGAGAAGAAGGAAAAAAGAGGACAAGAAAAAAAGAAUGAGGAGGAAGAGGAGAAAGAGAAGAAGCAAAAUAAGAAGAGAAGAAGAAGAAGAAGAUCACAUAGAAGAUGAAGAAGAGGCAGAAGAAGAAGCCGAAGAAGAGGGUGGAGAAGGAGUAGGAGAAGAAGAAAAGAAAGAACAAGAAGAAGGAGAAGAAAAAUAAUGUGAAGGAGAAGAAGAAGAAGAAGAAGAAGGAGGACAAGAAAAAAGAAUAAGGAAGAGAAGAAGAAGAAGAAGUAGAAGAAGAAGAUGAAGAUGAAGAAGAAGAAAGCACAAGAAGAAGCAGAAGAUGAAGAAGAAGAAAGCACAAGAAGAAGCAGGGGAAGGAGGAGGAGGUGAAGUAAAAAGAACAAAAAAAUUAAAAAGAAGAAUAGGUAGGAGAAGAAGAAGAGGAAGAAGAAAAUGAUGAUGAAAAGGAAGAUGAAGAAGAAGAAGAAGAGGAGGAACAAGAGGAAGAGGAAGAAAAGGAAAAGGAAGACAAAAAGGAUGAGAAAGAAGAAGAAGACGACGAAGAAGAGGAAGGAGGAGGAGGUGAAGAGGAAGAAGAGGAUGAAAAGGAAAAAGAAGAAGAGGAAGAGGAAGUGGAAGAGGAAAAAGAAAAAGAGGAGGAAGAUGAAGAAGAACAAGAACAAGAACAAGAAGGCGAAGAAAAGGAGGACGAACAGGAGGAGGAGAAAGAAGAAGAAAAGAGGAAGAAAAAGAAGAAGAAGAGGAGGAGGAAGAAGAGGAUGAAGAAGAAGAUGAUGAUGAUGAUAGAGGAGGAGGAGGAGGAGACGGUGGAGCAGAGAGAGGAGGAGAAGAGGAAGAACAAGAAGAAAGAGAACAAGGAAGAAGAAAAAGAAUGAGAAUAAGGAGAAGAAAAAGAAGAAGCUGGAGAAGAAGGACAAGAAGAAGAAGAAGAAGGACAAGAAGAAAGAAGAAGGAGAAGAAGCAGAAGAAGGUGGAGAAGGAGAAGAAGCAGCAGAAGCAGAAGAAGAAGCAGCCAAUUUAGCAGAAGAAGCAGAAGAAGAAGGAAAAGCAAAAGCAGAACCAGAAGAAGAAGAUGAUGAUGAUAAUGAUGAUGAAGAAGCAGAAGUAGAAAAAGAGAACUAAGAGAAGCAGAAGCAGAAGGAGAAGAAGGGAAAGAUGAUGAUGAAAAAGAAGCAGAAGCAAAAGAAGGAGAAGCAGAAGAUGGAGAAGAAGAAAAAGAAGCAGAAGAGGAAGAAAAGCAGAAGAAGAACAAGAACAAAAAGAAAGAAACAGGAGGAGAAGAAGAAGGAGAAUGAGGAGGAGAAGGAGAAAGAAGAAAAAGGAGGAGAAGAAGAAGAACAAGAGAAAGAUGAUGAUGAAAAAGAAGCAAAAGCAGAAGAAGCAGAAGAUGGAGAAGAAGAAAAAGAAGCAGAAGAGGAACAAAAGCAGAAGAACAAGAACAAGAAGAAAGAAAUAGGAGGAGAAGGAGAAUGAGAAGGAGGAGAAGGAGAAGAAAGGGAUGGAGAAGCAGAAGGAGAAAGAAGAAAAAGGAGGAGGAGGAGAAGAAGAGCAAGAAGAAGAAGAAGUAGAAGAAGGAGACGAAGAAGAAGGAAAUGGAGGAGGAGAAGAAUGAGAUGCAGGAGAGGGAAAAGGAGGGGAAGGAGGAGAAGGAGAAGAAGAUGAAGCAUGAAGAAGGAGAAGAAAGAGAAGAAGAAGAAGAAGAAAAAGAAGCAGCAGAAGAUGUGGAAGAAGAAGCAGCAGCAGAAGAAGAAGCAGGGGAAGAGGGCAGAGAAGAAGGAGAAGGAGAGGAGGAAAAGCAAGAACAAGAAGAUAGGAAACAAAGAAGAAGAAGAAUGAGAGGAAGCGCAAAAAAAGGGGGGGGGGAUGAACAACAAGAAGAAGGAGAAGCAGAAGAAAUGAAGAUAAAGAAACAAAAGACAGUGAAGGAGGAGGAGGAGGAGAAAAAACAAGAACAAGAAGAAGAAGAAGAAUAGGAGGUAGGAAAAGAAGAAGAAGAAGAAGAUAAAGAGGAAGGAGGAGGAGGAGGAGGAGACGAGGAAGAAGAGAAAGAAGAAAGAGAAGAAGAAGAAGAGAGGUGGAGGAGGAGGAGGAGGAAGAGGCAGCAGCAAAACAAGAAGAAGAUGACGAAGAAGAAGAAGAAGAAGAAAAAGAAGCAAAAGAAGUAGAAGAAGAAGAAGAAGCACAAGCAGCAGAAGAGGAAGCAGCAUAAGAAAGAAGAAGGAGAAGGAGAAGGAAAAGGAGGAGUAGAUGUAGAAGAAGAACCAGAAGAAGAAUGAAGGAGCAGAAGAAGAAGCAGAAGUAGAAGAAGGAGAUGGAGGAGGAUGAGGAGAAGAAGAAGAAGAAGCAAGAAUUGUGGAACCAUCCCAAACAGCCCGAUUUGGAACGUACAGAGCCACAUGAUGGCCGCCGACCUGAACAGUUCUGGCAUUCGAAACAAGAAAUCGAUGGAGAGGGAGAGGAAGAAGGAAAUAGAGAAAAAGAGGGGGAGGGGGGAGAGAGACAAGGUCACCAGAGGGCACCGAGGCCGUCGGAGAGUGGAAGGAGGGGCUCUACCCUACUCCCAAUCAUAACAUGGGCGGAAGCUCCUGUUUCUUUUUUAUUUUGUCAAUUUCUAAUGAAAUCAGCAACCACAUUUCAAUCGAAAGGAAGGCAGAGUCCCUCUCUCUCUCACUCUUUUCCUCUCUCAUGUUCUUCCUCUCGCUCGCCCUCAGUGCCAUGUUGUUAUGGGCUUUACCAGCCUUCACAAACUCUCUCCCUCCAUUCUUCCCUUUCCCUCUACCUUCCCUCUCUCUUUUCCUCUCUCCCAUUCUCUCUCUCCCCCCCACCCUCUCUGCUGUGUCAGUUUGGACUUGGCACAGGGGCAUACAAACCAUAGCAACCAAUCCAAGCCCCAAUACCGGCACAGCAAAUAUUGAGACCAAAAAUGAGACAGAGGAGAACGAGGAGGAGGAGAAGGAAUAAGGAGGAGGAGAUGAAGCAGGAAGAAGAAGAAGAAGCAAAAGCAGGGGAAAAGGGUGGAGAAGAAGGAGAAGGAGAAGGAGAACAAGAAAGAACAAGAAGAAGCAGAAUGAAGAAGAAAAUGAAGGAGAAGAAGAAGAAGAAGUAGGAGAAGCAGCAAAAGAAGAAGCUAAAGCAGAAGAAGAAGGAGAAGGAGAAGGAAAAAAAAACAAGAAGGAGAGAGUAAAAGAUAGAGAAGAAGAAGAAGGAGGAGGAAGAGGAGGAGGCGAAAAAGGAAGAGGAGGAGAACAAGAUGGAAAACAAGGAAGGAGGAGGAGGAGGAGAAGAAGGUGAAGGAGAAGGAGAAGAAGAGGAGGAGGAAGAAGAAGAGGAGGAGGAAGAAGAAGAGAAGCACAGGAAAGAAGAAGAGGAAAAGGAAGAGGAAGAAGAGGAGGAGGAGGAAGAGGAAGAAGAAGAGGAGGGAGGAGGGAGGAGGAAGAGGAGGAAGAAGGGGAGGGAGGAGGAGAGGGAGGAGAAGAGGAAGAUAAAGCAGCAGAAGAGAAAGAAGAAGGAGACGAAAAAGGAGGAGGAGAAGAAGCAAAAGAAGAAGUACACACACACAUAUACAUACAUAUAUACAUAUAUAUAUAUACACACACACACACAUACAAAUACAUACAAAUAUAUACAUAUACAUAUACACAUACAAAUAUAUAUAUACAUAUACGUACAUACAUAUACAUAUACAUACAUAGAUAUAUAUAUAUAUAUAUAUAUAUAUAUAGAGAGAGAGAGAGAGAGAGAGAUAUAGAUAUAUAUAUAUAUAGACACACACACACUCUCUGUUGCAUCAUAUACUUCAGAUUUUGAGAAAUGAAGCAAAAGUUUUUAUCUUUCAUACUUGAUGUGACACCAUGCUUCAAAAAAAAUUAAAUCAUGAAAACCCUAAGGGUGAACUCUAGGCAAUUUGCUAUUGUAAGAUCUGUAAAGGUUCGUUCAAUUCUAUUUUCUCUUAUCCAUUCACUUUUCUCACAUACUUUCUGUUUUUCCAUUCAAACCCAUGCUUGUAACAUAAAUGAACCCUCUUAUACUAAUCCCAUUCAAUUCUUCCAUCACAUCCUCGACUUUUAUUGAAUUCUUAACCCUCAUGGCUCCAAAACAAGAAUCUCUAUUCAGCCUUCCAUACCAUCAAUUAAUCCUCUUACACUAAUCCCAAAUCAAUUAUCUGUUACAUUACCAGCUGAACACAUGCUAUCAAUCUUGUAAAAUCUUAUUUUUGAGACGUCAAGAGUUGACAAGCCAUUUCCCUGAUAUGGCUAGUAAGGAACAGGGUGCACUAGUUCCAAGGAGGAAUGCUUACCUUCAACAUACUUGCAUUGUUACAAACCAUCAGCAUCUUACUUAUCUCAAGCAAUAAAAAGAAACAAAUAAGUACCCAACAAACAAGGGCAUCAAGAACUUCCUCCGGUAGGUGUCUCAAAUUCCAAUUGGUAACAAGUAAGAUCUAAUUAAUAUAGUUGAACAAUUUUGGGAAACCUUGAAGAUGAUAAAUUUGAUUGGCAAGCUUUCAAAUUAUAACCACCAACAUUAAAGUUAAUCUUAGUAGUAAUGGUCACAGACUCAUAGCCGUGGCAGCAGUAGUUAUGCAUAGCCACUCAAUGAAAGAAUCCAAGGCCUAGCCAAAAGAUCAUAUAUUCCAGCCAAUAAUUUAAUAGACAGAAAUCCAUAAAAGGGGCAGUGAAUUAGAUUACCAGAGAGUGGGCAAUAUAGAUUGAGGCGAGAAAUGAGGAGAUUGGCAAGGAGGCGGAGGUCCAGCCACAGUCACAUGAUCUUAGCCACAGACAAAGUCCUCAUAGAUGUAGCUGCAGAUGUUUUGGCGGGAGUUCUCCCUCCUCUUAUGCUCCUUGUUAGAGGUUCAGUCUCACCUCCAUUGUCAUGGUAUUGGCUCCAAGAGAAAGAGGGAGGACCCAUUUAUCUGGUGCUAAAGCAUAUCAUGCAUUGCCUAAACAAAGAAAAAUAAAGCAUCCAUUAGUUCAAGAAUUCAGUGUGAAUUUAAGACAAGAAAUAUAAAUCUGAUAAAGGUCACUUAUACAAUAAAUUAUAUAGUUGCAAACAUUGUUUCGUGAGGGAGGGAUGGAAGGAAAACAAGACAAAAUUGACAUAGCAGUACCAUAAAGAACUAAUAAUGAUAAAAGUUCAGCCACAGGAAGGCAAUAGCAAAUGAGAUCAGAUGCGUUAGAAAUAUUAUAAGAGAACUAACAAGUCACAACUAUUGCAGUAGGAUUGAUACAAAGGAAUUUAUGCAGACUUAAGCGAUUAUGUUCCUAUUCACAUCUUUUUGUGCCAAUGGACCCUCAACUUAUGAUUUUGCAUCAAUUAAACAAUCAUUGCAUUCAACAUAUGGAUCAUUUGAAAGACUAAUAAACAAAAAUAAGCUAAAUGGAUGCAAUGGACCAGAAGAACACACUAAUACAUUAUCUGAAACUUUUGAGUCAACCAGAUAUACACCCAAAAGAUAGAUAACUUUCUGGUUAGUGUUGAGGCAGGUUGAUAUUUGAAGACCCAAUUCUGACACUAUCUCAACUACUCAGGUUAUUCUUGGCCUACUAAGAUUUCAAGAAGAUGAAGGAUUGGAAGAGCAUAUUUGUUAUCAAGCAUUGCAGAAACAUGGAAUAAUUACCAAGUAAAAUAAAAUCAUCAAAAGCCACGCAUGAACAGGCUGAGUCAUGACAUCUACAAAACCAAAGUUACACAAACACCCCAUCACUGAUGCAUAAGAUACAUCUAUAUAAGAGCUAGACAAACAUAAACGACAUAGCUAAAACUGAUUUGUCCAGAAAAAACAUAUUUCAAACCAAUCCCUCAUGAUUGCAAUGUGAACAGAACAUGUCAAUAUUGUAGGUGGUUAACAACAAACAAAACAAUGAACCGCCACGCACCACACGAUUGGAACUAGUUACCAGCCUUCUUGGUGUAACUGCCAAAAAGUCUCCACCACCAUCUGUGUAUAUGCUCGCAAACAUGUACUGUAUAAUUUCAAAGUCUAUCUCACGAUAAGCUUUUCCAAGAUCUAGUCUGCUGAAAAACUCAUGUACACUAAAUUUACCAUUUUUGCAAAUUCUUCAUUGACAUUACUAAGGCUAGCUCAGCCAACAGAAACAACGGUGUUAGAUGGAUGAUAAUAUUGGUUCUGGCAUAAGCAUCAGAUAGUGAUCCUUAUUAAUCCCCCGAGUCAACUUCAACAAGAAGUCACACCCACGGCCAAGCACAUGAAUGUACCCAUGCAUAUGCAUGUGUGCUUAUACAAGUGCACAUGCAUUUAUAUACAAUGACGGAGAUGUUUGCAAAGGAACACAAUCGCACUUCCCUUUUAAGUAUGCAUGUGCAGAGUCAAUGAACUCGUUGCCAAACCUCGUCUACAUUUUAACACCAUUAGAAUACCCUUCUUAAGCGAUAGAGGUAUUAUCCCCCAACACUUGAGAAAUUACACAAGCAUGGGAAUAUACAAAGAUACAAGCACAGACAUAGACAUCACAGCUAAUGACAAUCAUCACAUGGAUGAUGACAAGUAAUGAGCUUUCAUACAUCAAAGUCCCCAUACCUGUUAUUCACAAGAAUCCUAUUUAAGAUAGAGGGUGAAUCUAGCCUAUUUAAGAGACUAAGCAGGAUUAUCCAGUCUGUUUUGCAGUAAAAAGCCUGCAACAUAUAGUAGAAAAUUAAUUCAAAUGGGAUGCAUAGAUGGCCAAUCAAGGUAUGCUGAACUGGUACCGCCGGCCGUACCGGCCAGUCGGUGGUACGGUUUCGUACCGUACCGAACCGACGAAGGCAAGCGGACCCAAACCGGAAGAAGAAAAAGAGAGAGAGAGAGAAAUAGAGAGAGAAGGAGGAAGAAAGAAAAAGAGGGAGGGGAAGG
rnacentral:lncRNA from 1 species